rfam:Amborella trichopoda AMTR_V1.0_contig_28086, whole genome shotgun sequence.
AGGAGCCGUAUGAGAUGAAAAUCUCAUGUACGGUUCUGAAACGGAGAUUCAUUGAAUCGAAUGACGACCGUAAC